UGACAGGGGUAGGCAACGUUCUAGUAGUACUGUGUCAAAAGAUCUUGAAGUCCCUCGGUGUGCCAGUCCUCUUGUUUUAGAUUGAGGUAUGUAUGUUGCUGUAUUGUGCUUGUGUUAUUUAUGGGUGUUGCAGUUGCUUUGUAGCACUAUAUUUGUGCAUAUGUGGACUGUUAUAUUUUAUAUGUUCUUGAUUAGUUUGUGGUAUUGUGUAUGAUACCUUUGAUUUUUUAUUAUUUGUAUGAUGGGGAGGCUUUUUUCUGCAGCUCUGUAUAUAUUCAAGCAGUAUGGGUGGCUUCCGUGGGGUCCAGUGGGUACCAGGCUAGACCAGCUGCAGG